rnacentral:rRNA from 1 species
GGCAACAGCUCAAAUUUGAAAUCUGGCUCCCUUGGGGGUCCGAGUUGUAAUUUGUAGAGGGUGCUUUGGCGUUGGCCGUGGCCUAAGUUCCUUGGAACAGGACGUCACAGAGGGUGAGAAUCCCGUAUGUGGCCGGCGGCCUUCGCCUUGUAUAGCCCCUUCGACGAGUCGAGUUGUUUGGGAAUGCAGCUCUAAAUGGGAGGUAAAUUUCUUCUAAAGCUAAAUAUUGGCCAGAGACCGAUAGCGCACAAGUAGAGUGAUCGAAAGAUGAAAAGCACUUUGGAAAGAGAGUCAAAAAGCACGUGAAAUUGUUGAAAGGGAAGCGCUUGCAGCCAGACUUGCCUGUGGUUGCUCAGCCGGGCUUCUGCCCGGUGCACUCUUCCGCAGGCAGGCCAGCAUCAGUUCGGGCGGUCGGAUAAAGGUCUUGGGAAUGUGGCUCUCUUCGGGGAGUGUUAUAGCCCGAGACGCAAUGCGACCAGCCUGGACUGAGGUCCGCGCAUCUGCCAGGAUGCUGGCGUAAUGGCUGUAAGCGGCCCGUCUUGAAACACGGACCAAGGAGUCUAACAUCUAUGCGAGUGUUUGGGUGUCAAGCCCGGACGCGUAAUGAAAGUGAACGGAGGUGGGAACCCGCAAGGGCGCACCAUCGACCGAUCCUGAUGUCUUCGGAUGGAUUUGAGUAAGAGCAUAGCUGUUGGGACCCGAAAGAUGGUGAACUAUGCCUGAAUAGGGUGAAGCCAGAGGAAACUCUGGUGGAGGCUCGCAGCGGUUCUGACGUGCAAAUCGAUCGUCAAAUUUGGGCAUAGGGGCGAAAGACUAAU